rnacentral:rRNA from 1 species
GUACACGCUGUGACUAGCAUAUCAAUAAGCGGAGGAAAAGAAACUAACAAGGAUUCCCCUAGUAACGGCGAGUGAAGCGGGAAGGGCUCAAAUUUGAAAUCUUAAAGGGUUUCCCUUUACGAAUUGUAGUUUAAAGAAGUGUUUUCUGUUGAGGUUUUGGUAAAAGUUCUUUGGAAUAGGACAUCAUAGAGGGUGAGAAUCCCGUAUUUGACCUUUACUUUCAACUUUGUGAUACACUUUCAAAGAGUCGGAUUGUUUGGGAAUGCAGUCCAAAAUGGGUGGUAAAUUUCAUCUAAAGCUAAAUAUUGGCGAGAGACCGAUAGCGAACAAGUACCGUGAGGGAAAGAUGUAAAGAACUUUGAAAAGAGAGUUAAACAGUACGUGAAAUUGUCAGAAGGGAAGCGUUUGACACCAGUGUUGUUUUUCGGAAAAUCAAUUAAAGAACUGUUUAUGCUAAGUUGUUUAGACUUUAUCAGCUAACUGUUUAGUUUUGAGCUUUUCUUUAAUGCACUUUUCAGUUAACAAGUCAACAUCAAUUUCUUUUGCUGUAAAAAAGCUUGAGGAAGGUGGCUUGAGAUUCGUCUUAAGUGUUUAUAGCCUCUUGCCUAUGCAGUCGGAGAGAUUGAGGUCUGCAGCGUAGAUCCUUCGGGGCUAAAUGCAUUUGUGCUAAGUUAUAGCAUUUUAUAGACAACUUGUUGACUAUGAUUUGUCUUGUAGCUUACUCGCUUAUGUUAUUUUACCUACGCUUAGGAUGUUGACACACGCGCGUGCUCG